UACGGAGGGUGCGAGCGUUGUCCGGAAUCACUGGGCGUAAAGGGCGCGUAGGCGGCCUGGUAAGUAGGGGGUGAAAUCCUGCGGCUUAACCGCAGGGCUGCCUUCUAAACUGUCAGGCUCGAGCACGGUAGAGGCAGAUGGAAUUCCCGGUGUAGCGGUGGAAUGCGUAGAGAUCGGGAAGAACAUCAGUGGCGAAGGCGGUCUGCUGGGCCGUUGCUGACGCUGAGGCGCGACAGCGUGGGGGAGCAAACAGG
rnacentral:rRNA from 1 species